rnacentral:rRNA from 1 species
UUCGGCGGCCAUAGCGAGAGGGAAACGCCCGGUUACAUUCCGAACCCCGAAGCUAAGCCUCUCAGCCCCGAUGGUACUGCAAGGGGGACCCUGUGGGAGAGUAGGACACCGCCGG